UUUUUUUUAAAGCCAGCGCUCAACAGCUCGAUCGCGGCGCUUUAAGAUGACGUAGUAUUAAGAGCGAUAAUAGUAACGAGAAGUAUGAAAGACUGAA